GACGAACGCUGGCGGCGUGCUUAACACAUGCAAGUCGAGCGGUAAGGCCCUUCGGGUACACGAGCGGCGAACGGGUGAGUAACACGUGGGUGACCUGCCUCUAGCUCUGGGAUAAGCCUGGGAAACUGGGUCUAAUACCGGAUAUGACUCCACGGCGCAUGUUGUGGGGUGGAAAGCCUUGUGUGGCUAGAGAUGGGCCCGCGGCCUAUCAGCUUGUUGGUGGGGGAUGGCCUACCAAGGCGACGACGGGUAGCCGGCCUGAGAGGGCGACCGGCCACACUGGGACUGAGACACGGCCCAGACUCCUACGGGAGGCAGCAGUGGGGAAUCUUGCGCAAUGGGCGAAAGCCUGACGCAGCGACGCCGCGUGA
rnacentral:rRNA from 1 species